rnacentral:rRNA from 1 species
AUUGAACGCUGGCGGCAGGCCUAACACAUGCAAGUCGAGCGGAUGAAGGGAGCUUGCUCCUGGAUUCAGCGGCGGACGGGUGAGUAAUGCCUAGGAAUCUGCCUGGUAGUGGGGGAUAACGUCCGGAAACGGGCGCUAAUACCGCAUACGUCCUGAGGGAGAAAGUGGGGGAUCUUCGGACCUCACGCUAUCAGAUGAGCCUAGGUCGGAUUAGCUAGUUGGUGGGGUAAAGGCCUACCAAGGCGACGAUCCGUAACUGGUCUGAGAGGAUGAUCAGUCACACUGGAACUGAGACACGGUCCAGACUCCUACGGGAGGCAGCAGUGGGGAAUAUUGGCCAAUGGGCGAAAGCCUGAUCCAGCCAUGCCGCGUGUGUGAAGAAGGUCUUCGGAUUGUAAAGCACUUUAAGUUGGGAGGAAGGGCAGUAAGUUAAUACCUUGCUGUUUUGACGUUACCAACAGAAUAAGCACCGGCUAACUUCGUG